rnacentral:misc_RNA from 1 species
CAUUUAGAAUCAAGCAUGUUGAACAUGAUAGAAAGCAUGCAAAAAGUUUCAAUUAAUACGAAAUACAAAAUAUGUCGGAGACUUAGAAAGGGCAUGUCCAGAGAGGAUGUAAUAGAAAUGAGAAAGGAAAGUAUGGUAGGGUUCCGCAACGAGCACCGUUUAGCAAAGCUUGCCGAAAAGAAACUUGCACACGAGAAAGCCAAAGUAGAAGAGAUUCUUCAUCGCUUGAAUCAGGACAAAGCAAGAUGGCACUUCAGAAGAUCAUUAUUUAUGAACAAAAUAAUAUCGAAGAAUUUGUUGCCAACUUUAAUUCAUGUGAAAGAUGAUAGAGGAGUAAUGGAAGCAAUCAUUAAGGUGUUACAAGAGCUGAUGACACCUGUGGAGUGCCUCAUGCCGGUGGAGAUAAUGGGAAGAAAUUAUGAGGGUCGGCAUAUUGUACAUGAACUGGAAUCAUCCAUAGUAAUGACUAAGAAACUAUUCCUAGACACCCGCGUCACAAAAGCUCUCAUUGAUUUGAUGAGCACUGUCUUACAGGAUUCAAAGGUGCUAAGCCUUGCCGAGUGUGAACUUAUCAACCAUUGCCUGUUGCUCGUGAGAAACCUCCUUCAUGUGAGCAACAUCCCUUGCCCACUCAUUAACAAAGCCAUGUACAAUCCACCAACAUCAUCCUCUUCCUCGAAUCAGCAGGCUGGAACAAGUCCAGAUGUUUUGACAGAAGACCAAAUAAUGUGGAACCUGUUUGCUCAUAGAUUUGACAAUAUCUUGAUACAGUUGCUAACUUGUGACCAGCAGCAUUUGUGGAAUGUCACCUUAGUCCAGCUUGUUUCCUUGAUGUAUCGUGAGCAGCAGCAAAGCACAAUUCGAAAGCUUAUUCAUGAGUGGUUGGAAUCUUCUCUCUCGGAGAGUUCGGAGGAUGAUGAGAACAACACCAUGUCAUCGUCAUCCUCAGAUGCCAUCUCAACAUCUGAUCCAGUAUCAGACUCCUCAGAAAGGUUAUCUCCUGUUGACAGUGUUAACAAAGGGGAGAAGACACAUCCGAAUGUAAAUGAAAGUAAUGAAAAUUCAGACACUUCAAGAAUUGCAAAAACAGAUAAAGAAGAUAGCUGCAAGGACAGUGGGUUUGGUCGCUCAGGUUCUAACAUGGACUCAUCUCCCGAAGAGUCAGUCUCUGAGGGCACUAGUCAACAUAUGGGUAUGCAGAAAACGUGGAAUUCCACAUCUACAAAUGAUGAUAGUCAGCAAUAUUCCACUGAUCAGACAUCAUCAAUAAACAAUUUGGACCAAGUCCAGAAUAUAAGUGUACAACAUAGUGAAAAUAAGCUCGAUAAUGUAUCUAUAGACCAAAUGGAUACCUCUCCUUUAGGACUUGACAAUGUCAAGGAUAGUGCAUGUGACAUGAAAGAUGAACUGAGUGAAAGAGAAAGUGACCAAGGAGGAAGUGGAGGAAGUGAAGGGGGUAGUGAAGGUAGUAGUCCAGUGCCUGCAAUGGGCCAGGAAUCCCCAAUAUCACAGAUAGACAUUGAUAGUAGGGAUCCAAAUCCUCCACAGUACAUUCAUAAUGUUGAAGAUGAAAUUCUAACAGCUGUUGGCUCAUUGUUAAUGGAGGAUGGUGGCUGUGACCCAACACCAUUAAGAGUAGAGACCAUAGAUAAUAUGGGCCAAAUGGAUGAGGAGGUUAAUCAACAAAUGUGUUCACCACAGGAAUCCAUCAAGAGACCCCCAAACAAAGAGGAGUCAGGGUCAAGUGGUGAUUCAAGUGAGAAAAAGCCUCCACCUCAGUUGCCAAAGUUACUAAAAAAUAAACCCUUAACGGGUCAGAAAAGAUCCAGACAUACAAUGUCACAGAAGAUGCUUUCAGAGAGCCAGGAGAAUAAUGAAUCAAGUAACUCAACAGGCUCAGAAUGUGAUGAGGGCCCCCAUGCCAAGAGACCACAUCAUCAGAAGCCUCACAAGAUGCUGAGCAAGCCAAGACCAGCCAAAAUGUUGCAGAAGGCGCUACAGGAAAGAAACAUCAAACGGAGUAAAUUGAUGAAGCGCAAAGAGAGCAAUAGCAUAAAGGCAAAAGCCCUCUUACAUCAUCACCCAACAGCAGAUGACAUUUCGAACUUACUGAAGGAGUUUACUGUUGACUUUAUGCUUAAUGGGUAUUCCAAUAUGGUACAGGGUUUAAGACUACAAGUUAUGUUACCCUACCAGAUUGAUCUUGACAAAUCUCAUGUUUUGUGGCUCAUUACAUAUUUCCUGCGCUUUGCUGUUGAGCUGGAUUUGGAGCUCUCACAAAUUUGCCCAGUUUUAUCUGUUGAUGUGGUUUCAUACUUGGUAUAUGAAGGAGUAGUUAUGCAAGAAGAACUGGAACAAGCAGUCCGUUCUGGUGAAGACAACCUGCUCCCUCAUGUCAGACGCCUGCAUCUUGUGGUUACAGCUCUUAGAGAAUUUUUUGUAGCUUUAGAUGUCUGUUUGAAGAAGGAGCAGAACCUAUGUAAUGCUGGGAAUUUAUUGCAGAUAAAAGAGGAACUAGGGCAACUUGUUGAAGUCCGACAGUUGUUCGUCUUGUUGAUACGCAUGUACAGGCCAGGGGUAUUGAACCUCAAUUAUCUCCAAGAUCUCAUUACAACAAAUCAUCGAUUCUUGACAACUCAGGAGGGCAACAACCUCACAAGUGCAUCCUUGCAGUGUUUCAACAUUGUAAAUCACAUCAAGCAGUUUGCCACCAUGGACAUGAUGCGUCAAUAUGGCCGUCUCCUCGAAAACUUCAACAUCAAUGAUGAAACCGUAAAUGACUGCAUAUUCACAAUGAUGCACCACAUUGCAGGAGACUUGCGUAAUGUUAAUGUUUUACUGCAGCCACCAAUUUUGAGAGUAUUUCUACGCAUUUGGAAAGAAGGCUUUGAAUUGUGUGCCGACUGGGCGGAUCUCAUAGAAUAUGUAUUAAGAAAAUGCACUCGUGUUCGCACAGAACACCCAAAUAAGGAAAAGAAAGACACACAGAAACCAGUGUCAGAACCUCUCGGCAUUGAACUGACGGAUGAAGACCUAGACCAGCUCUACUCUCUUUACACUGCUUCCACCAGUGAGCAAGAUUUAAUGGACAAGAUCAAGGAAAUAUGCUGCGAUGAUUCAAUUGAAGAACCUAUUAAGAAAGAAGUUAUCCAGAAGUUGCUUGCCCGAGGAUUUAUAACUACAAGUGAAUGUUCAAAACUUUGUGCUGAAAUACCACCAAUCGAGCCCCUGGCCAGCAAGAGUGAGGGGGCCCUGAGUGUGGAGUGUGAUGUCAUGCAAGUGAGCAGUGACUCUGAGGAAUCCAUGGAUGCACCACAGCCUGCACCAGAACCUACACUCAAGAACAUUAACAAAAAGUAUUCUGAGAAGAACAUCAACGAAGUUCACGAGAUGAUGCCACUGCUUGGCCCACUGAAAAGUAAGAAACUGGCAUCGCAGGAGGUUGACAAUGCAAAGAACUUGGAAGAGAAGAUCAUCCCAUUGCACAAGGAAACAAGUGAUUCAGUACAAGGUGCUUCAUCAGACAAGACAGAAGAAAGUGCAGAAAGCAACAUGACCUGUACUGAAGAUAGCACUGACUGGGAUGACAACACUACCAUUACAAUGCUUAUAGGCCAACUUAAAGAAGAAGGCUAUGGGGCUCAGGUCCAGUGGUUGCAACUUCAACUCUUAGAAGCCUGUUAUUCAAAGCUGAAGAUGGUUGGCCCAAAUCUACCAAAAGCAGAACCUGUUCCCUGUCAUUUCACGUUAUCAAACCAAUCUAUACCACUAGUACCUUGGACAAGUGAGCAGGAAGAAGCUUUUUCCUCCUUAAAGUUCCGCCAGCUGCUUGGAGAGCUAGGCUUUCACCUUCCUUCUGACACAGGCAAAAUCUUCCCAAGAAUUCCCCACUUUUGGUGUCCGGAAGUACUAUUUAUGGUGGCAAAACGUCUUGGACCCAUUAAUAGUAAGGAGAUGACGACACCGCUGUCCUCAAGGAUUCGUCAUUGCUUGAUUGUGAUGACUCCUCUGAACGAGUUAGUGAUUGCUCCAUGGAAAACAAUCGCUCAAGCCCCACAUCACCUGCAUCCUCAAUAGAUGAGAAACUGACUCUGCUACACGAUGAAGAGACCGAGAGUAGUGAAUUUUCCCAAAGAAUCCCUAUGGCUGGUUUGAUGGUAUCUCCAGCAGGCGUACCAGCUGGUCAUGAGAAUCAAGAUGACCCAGACAGCUUAAUGACAUCUCCAGUACAAGUAAUAUCAACAGCUGAUGAUGUCAUGAUGAUGUUAUCAGACACUGAAGAGGCUCCUGCAUCUGUAGAAGUACCUUCUCUGUGUUCUGAAAACCUUGAAGUGAAAAUGGACACGUAGACUUUUUGGAAUGCUUUAACAUCAGUCAGACAUGUCAUGAAGGAUUAAUGUCAGUAAUGUCAGUGUUGAUGAGUUAAAAAAGUGUGGUGGAUGAAUAUAAAAUCAUUAUGAUUGAAGUCAUUCCAACAGAAAAUAAGUGAAGUUGUUUAAUAAUUUAUCUAGUUUUUAAGAUAGUAUAUUUUUUUUAAUGUGUACAUAGUUUGUUAAAUGGACUGUACGACAAUGUGUUUCAAGCACAGGAAAUUGAGUAGUGCAACAGCAGUUGCACUACUCACCCUAUGCAUGGAUGAAAUAUUGAAGUAUAAUUUUUUUUAUGAAGAAUUAUUCAUGUAUAGCUGUAUAUUUAUACUGCUAAUGCAAAAUUUCUUAUGUUUUCAUGAAUCAUUACACAUGUACAGUUGUUCAUACUUAAACAUCCCAUACACAUAAAGCAGGCACUAGGGGAGCAAAUUCUUAGCUCUUGAGUACAAAUUAUAUUACCAUGAAUAGCAGGACCAUUUUACUUUAACUGUACUGGUCUUUUUUGAGGAAAGAGGAAAGUAAGUUAUUUUUUCUAGAAAUGAUUCUUGGCAAGCUGUGAUAAUGAUAUAUAUAUGUGUAUAUAUAUAUAUAUAUAUAUAUCUUGUGAAAAAAUUCAGAUUGUGCCAUAGAAUUGUUAGAAUUUUCCUCUUGUGAUCAGGUACUUGUUUAUGUAGAUUUGUCAUGCAGGACAGUAGUUGAACAGGCCUGCCUUUGUAGAAAAACUUAUAGUAAGUUUGGAUCUCUUUCAUUAUAAGAUCAUGUUCCUCUAGUCCUUCAAGUUCUUGACUUCAAGCUCAAAGCAAAAUAUAUUUCAGGUUUUUGUGUUAAUCUUUUUUUAUUGUUAGGCAUACUUUGCAAUGUCCUCAGUGUAAUGUAUAUAUUUGUCCAUAUGUCAGUAAAAUAUUUAUAGAUAA